rnacentral:rRNA from 1 species
GAUGAACGCUAGCUACAGGCUUAACACAUGCAAGUCGCGGGGCAGCAUGGGGGUUGCUUGCAAUCCCCGAUGGCGACCGGCGCACGGGUGAGUAACGCGUAUCCAACCUGCCCUUCACCACGGGAUAACCCGGCGAAAGUCGGACUAAUACCGUAUGUUGUCCAUUGACGGCAUCUGAUUUGGACGAAAGGUUUGGCGGUGAAGGAUGGGGAUGCGUCCGAUUAGCUGGACGGCGGGGUGACGGCCCACCGUGGCGACGAUCGGUAGGGGUUCUGAGAGGAAGGUCCCCCACACUGGAACUGAGACACGGUCCAGACUCCUACGGGAGGCAGCAGUGAGGAAUAGUGGUCAAUGGGCGUAAGCCUGAACCAGCCAAGUAGCGUGCAGGAUGACGGCCCUAUGGGUUGUAAACUGCUUUUAUGCGGGGAUAAAGUGGCCCACGUGUGGGUUUUUGCAGGUACCGCAUGAAUAAGGACCGGCUAAUUCCGUG